UGCGGACGGCGGCUGUACGGAUCUGUAGCGGAGGAGGAACUCGACGAGCUGGUGUUGGUGUAGGCAUAGCUGUAUUGCUCUUGAGCAGCCCUCACCCCGACUUCCGGAUAGUCACGGACCACAUAAUGCCGAGGCGUCUACAGAUUCGGGUUACAUAAGGUCAACAACGUGGAGAACAGGCAUUUCCGGAGAACAGAACUUUAUUUCUUCGUCGGAACUCUUUCGAGAGAAUUCAGACGAAGCGAUGGACGUACUUUUUGGAGAAUAUUAAAUUUGAGGGAUGUUAAGUUUGGGUUAGCGUGAAUCUAUAAGAUAAUCGCGCGUGUUACGAUGCGGAAGAAGAUAGUAAAAGGAUCGCUAUAAGAUGUCCCGCGAUAAUAUAUCAAUCUAUCUGUAGACACACAACGUGCGGGCCAAUUAUAAACGUAGAGCGGUACACGUAUGCAUUAAUAAUGUCUCCUUGCCGAGAUAUUCAGGACACUCUAGAGUGCAACGUUGAGCAACUGAAUUAGCCUUUGCCAAGAAACACAUGGAUAACGUAACGUAAUAGUGUGAACGUUAUGUUCGUGUUCCUCGCUCAUAUGUAUGCACAAGUGCAUCUCGGUGUCUCAUUUCGAAGUUAGUGUUCAAGCUAUAAAAAUUGUGCUUUCGUAUGCAGUCUCUUUUCACUUUACUCAACCACAUUAAUCAUUCAGUUUAAUUCAAAAUUUUUUAUUCCCUCUCCCAUCUACAUAAAUUACUGAUAUGUUCGUGAUACAAGCGUCGAUAAUACUGUUAAGCUAAGAAUACUUGAGAGAUAUUUUCUUUUUCAUAAACGGUUCGGGCGUGAUUAUUAUAGAACAGGAUAUCGUUCAACUCAAAUUCCCCAAUCCGUUUAAAUAAACGUAUCUUGGGAAUGAAUCCAGUAAACAUGCUUUUCGGAACCAAAGCACUUUAUUUGUUGAUGUGCGUACAAAGGAAACGGAAAGUAAACGAAUGAUAUACGUAUAAAGCAACUAUUAAAGAAGAAAAUAAGAUGUGCGUCUAUAUGUAUCUGUAUUCGUGUUUGUUAAAAAAAAAAAAAAAAAUAACAAAAAUAUUAAGUUUAUCAUAAGAUGAAUGAAAUGAAUACUGAGUACUACAGUUAUUAUUAUAAAAUUCGAAUUUUUCUUGAGAAUGUCACUCUGAGGGAAUGCCGAGAUAAAAUACCUUGAUAAAUCGGUAAAUAUAAUAUGUAAUACGUAUUUUUAUUUGAAGGGUAAAAAGGUUUCUAAACCAACGAAAAUCAAUUGUCUUACUAUUCACCACUGAAUUAAUUGUAGUAAUAAAAUUUAGUACAACGCUGACAAACAUAUGUCUACACAUAAUCCUUAUACGUUAUUCACGAACGAAUUUGCAAUAGAAGAGAAAAAU